rnacentral:rRNA from 1 species
CCUACGGGAGUCAGCAGUGAGGAAUAUUGGUCAAUGGACGAACGUCUGAACCAGCCAAGUAGCGUGAAGGAUGAAUGCCCUAUGGGUUGUAAACUUCUUUUAUAAAGGAAUAAAACGAGGCACGUGAGCCUUUUGGCAUGUACUUUUUGAUUAAGGAUCGGCUAACUCUGUGACAGCAUCCGCGGUAAUACGGAGGAUCCGAGCGUUAUCCGGAUUUAUUGGGUGUAAAGGGAGCGUAGAUGGGUUGUUAAGUCAGUUGUGAAAUUUCGCGGCUCAACCGUAAAAUUGCAAUUGAUACUGGCAGUCUUGAGUACAGUUGAGGUAGGCGGAAUUCGUGGUGUAGCGGUGAAAUGCUUAGAUAUUACGAAGAACCCCGAUUGCGAAGGCAGCUUACUAAACUGUGACUGACAUUGAUGCUCGAAAGUGUGGGUAUCAAACAGGAGUAGAUACCCUAGUAGUC